CUACGGGCCGCUCCAGUGAGGAAUAUUGCGCAAUGGGGGAAACCCUGAUGCAGCAACGCCGCGUGGAGGAUGACGCAUUUCGGUGUGUAAACUCCUUUUAUAUCCCAAGAUAAUGACGGUAGGAUAUGAAUAAGCACCGGCUAACUCCGUGCCAGCAGCCGCGGUAAUACGGAGGGUGCAAGCGUUACUCGGAAUCACUGGGCGUAAAGGGCGCGUAGGCGGGUUGUCAAGUCUUGAGUGAAAUCCAACGGCUCAACCGUUGAACUGCUUGAGAAACUGGCAGCCUAGAGUGAGGGAGAGGUAGAUGGAAUUGGUGGUGUAGGGGUAAAAUCCGUAGAGAUCACCAGGAAUACCCAUUGCGAAGGCGAUCUGCUGGAACUCUACUGACGCUGAGGCGCGAAAGCGUGGGGAGCAAACAGGAUUAGAUACCCUAGUAGUC
rnacentral:rRNA from 1 species